UUGUAUUGUUUUGUGGUGUUUGCCUGUGU
rnacentral:piRNA from 1 species